CAUUUCUUGCUUUUCAAGUCGCCAACCGUCUUCCAUAUUUCUUCCUCCUUUGGUUUUCGAUUUCGUCGCUGUUGAUUCUGAGAAUCGCGAUUCUCAGCCAUUUGAAACUGACUAACUGUGUGCUUGUAGCGAAAUUGAUUCCGCAUUUCAGCCUCGUUUGAGUGGCUUCAGCGUUAAUUUUGCAGAGCUUCUCCUCUUCAAGCUCGCGUCUCCAUUCCUUUACCAGAAAAGUUACUAGGCGCCAUAGCUUCUGCUCUCAAGGUGGACAAGGGAAAAGAACCCAUGCAAACUGAAGAAUAAAAAAGAAAGCUUAAGGUUCAAAGUAGGAGCAUCAUCUUGCAAGAAGAAAAUGAAAAUGAUAAAU